rnacentral:lncRNA from 1 species
UGAUCACAUGACUUUAAAAACUGCUUCUUGCAUCAUGGCACUCUACUGUGGUAUUAUCUCUAAUUCUCACGGAUCCUAAACAACAGACAUUUUCUACUCAAUUUUACAUGACUUGCUUGACUAAUAGUAUAUGGUGGAAGUGAUGUCCAGAGAUUCCUGAAACUGGACCAUGAGAAGGCUUGCGUCUUCUGCAUGGGCACCUUGGAACACUACCUCUGGAGCUCUGAGUUACCAUGCAAGAACCUGGACAACCCUGAUACCACCAUGUUGGAAAGGCUGCAUGUGGUCAUUCUGGUCAACAGUCCCAACUGAUCCCAGCUUCCUAGUCGCCCUGAAAAGUCACCAAACAUGUGAGUGG